AGAUAAUUUAUGGAUUCUUUCUUUCCUGUGCUCUUGAAAAUGUGCAAAGAAAGAAGAGUGGCCCCAGCAAGAUUACGGAGGGACUGAUCAUGUCCACUUGCCACGCACUAAUUAGCAGCUUAAAAUAAUUCAAGAAAUGACCCAAGAAAGAUCUCCGUCGCUGGUAGGUUCUUCAGCAGCUUUUUCUCUUUUUUAAGAACGGUUGCACACUCUGCUGCUCCUUGGCAGCUUCAAUCUGAACCAUCCCCCCGCCGCCUUGCCCCCGCAGAGCACUAAAAAUCACUCCUGUAUAUCUUCUAGCCAAUCAAGAAUCCCGUCUCUCACCUGGAUGACCAAUCUUGAAACCCGGAAAUGCUGCAACCCAGGACGAAAGUUGCAACAUUUUCGCUCCUCCUGGUGCUCUCGUCCUCGUUCCCGGCCGCAGAACCCGCCAUUGGAGUGAACUGGGGCACCAUCUCCUUCCACAGGCUGAGGCCGUCCACGGUGGUGGAUCUCUUGCAGCAGAACAAGAUACAGAAGGUGAAGCUGUUCGAUGCGGACCCGGGUGCGCUCAAGGCUCUUGAAGGGAGUGGGAUUGAGGUGAUGGUGGGGAUACCCAAUGAGAUGCUGACCGUGUUGGGCUCUUCCAGCGUUGCCUCUGAUCUCUGGGUUCGCCAGAAUGUGUCUAGUUUUGUUGGUAAAGGAGGUGUUGCCAUCAGGUAUGUCGCGGUAGGCAAUGAGCCCUUCCUCUCAAGCUACGCGGGUCAGUUUCAGAAUUAUGUUAUGCCAGCCCUCCUUAAUCUACAACAGUCAUUGGCCAAAGCGAAUCUUGCUGGUUACGUGAAGCUAGUGGUCCCUUGCAAUGCCGAUGCAUAUGAAGCGGACCUUCCUUCUCAAGGGGCAUUUCGUCCUGAACUCACCCAAAUCGUGACGCAACUCGUCUCUUUCCUGAAUUCGAAUGGUUCCCCUUUCGUAGUGAACAUUUAUCCGUUCCUAAGCCUGUACGGGAGCACGGAUUUUCCUCAAGACUAUGCAUUCUUUGGGGGAACUACUCAUGCUGUGACAGAUGGGGCCAAUGUGUACACUAAUGCAUUUGAUGGGAAUUUCGACACUCUAGUUGCAGCACUUACUAAAUUAGGUUAUGGUCAGAUGCCCAUAGUUAUUGGGGAGGUGGGUUGGCCAACGGAUGGAGCUCUGAAUGCGAAUCUUACGGCUGCUCGGGCAUUUAAUCAAGGCCUUAUUAAUCAUGUACUUAGCAACCGAGGAACUCCAUUGAGACCUGGAGUCCCUCCGAUGGACGUGUAUCUUUUCAGUCUACUUGACGAAGGCGCCAAGAGUGUACUCCUGGGAACUUUGAGAGGCACUGGGGAAUUUUCUCUUUUGAUGGCCAGGCUAAAUAUGCCUUGAACCUCGGUUUGGGCAACAGGCUGCUAAAGGAUGCGAGGAACGUGCAGUAUCUCCCAUCUAGGUGGUGCGUGGCGGACCCAUCAAAGGAUCUCUCUGCUGUCAUGAAUCACAUGAAACUUGCUUGUAGUGUUGCGGAUUGCACUACGCUCAACUAUGGUGGAUCGUGCAACGGUAUCGGAGCAAAGGGAAAUAUCUCGUAUGCAUUCAACAGUUACUAUCAAUUGCAGAUGCAGAAUUCACAGAGCUGUGAUUUCGAUGGGCUUGGGAUGGUCACUUUCCUUGAUCCGUCGGUCGGCGAAUGUAGGUUUCUGGUCGGUGUAACUGAAAGUACGUCUGCUGCCGUUGGGACAUAUUGGAGAGGGGUCAUUGUUUGGGUUUUGGUUAUGUGGAGUGUCUGGGUAUUUGAAGUGUGAAGUUUCUCACUUGGGGUUGUUGGUGCUUCCCUCUUCCGAAAGUGAAACCGGUAGUCAUAGAAGUCAGGUCACUAUAAUACUUAGACAAUACGCAGGAUUACCCUAGUAUAUGGAGGCUCUCUGUGUUUGUCACAGGGAGUGCAGUUAUGUAGUAAGAUGAGAACAAUUGACUAUUAAUUGACAUUGGCAUGGUAUAUCUUAUGAUUAUGGCGUGAUUUUCACAA